UGCAUGCUUAAAAUACUAUGAAUUGCAAUAUGCUAUCCAUGAUAUCUGGUAUAUCCUUUAUGUUUGCUGUAUUUAGGGGGAGUAAAACAAUUCACAACUAAGAAACAAGCAAUAAAGAAGGAAGCUAAAGAAGUAACAUUAGUAAAAGGGGGAGUAAACAAAAGUAACUUUAGUAAAAUUAAUUUCAUCAAAAGAAAGAAAUAGAGAAAAUAUAUUCAGAAAAGGGGGAAUAAAUAAUUUUUUUGUUGAUGCUGUCA
rnacentral:lncRNA from 1 species